AAUAUGUGUCACAUGUCAACUCGUGUUAGAGAGAAAAUCAGUAGUUCUAGUAUGCACAAAUCAAACAAGAAAGUCGCCAAUGAAUUAAUUGUAUGAGAAGUGGCGCAAUAAUUUAUUUGAAUAAUAAAUAAUUUAAACAAAUAAUAAAAGUGCCUUUUUAUAUUUUAUAAGUGAUAAAAUAAUUAAUUAUAUUUAAGAUAAAACCAUAAUUAUCUAUUUGAUAAAUUUAUAGGUUAUUAAUGUAUGUCAAUGAUUUAAAAAAGUUUACAUCACAUUAAAUUUUUGUCAACAAUAAGCUGAAUAAUAAAUAAAAAUUGAUUAUUGUCAUUAUUUAUUAAUGAUAAAUAAAUUUCGAAAUGUUAAAAUCAAGAAGAUUAAUAAAAUACGCAGUAAUAGGAGCAGCAAGUGUAGGAACUCUGGUAUCCUGGAGAGCAAAUGCGUAUGACAUUGGAUCAAUUGGUAUUGUACGUUUAAGUAGAGCUGCUGUAAAAGUAUUUAUCAUAGGAUCUCAUUACAAAAAAACACUUUACGAUAGUAAUUUAGAAAAAUCAUCACCAGAAUAUAUAAAAGCUAAGUCAGAAGCACAUAUAUUUGGAGCACAAAAACUCCUGGAACUUUGCUGUGCCAACAAAGGAGUUUAUAUUAAAAUAGGACAACAUAUAGGAGCUUUAGAUUAUUUAUUACCUACGGAAUAUGUUACGACAAUGCGAGUUUUACAUAGUUCAGCUCCUCAAUCUCCAUUUAGUGAUGUUAUAACAGUUCUCAAAGAAGAUUUUAAAAAAGAUCCGUAUGAAAUAUUUGAGUCAAUUGAACCAGAACCACUGGGAGCUGCCAGCUUAGCACAAGUGCAUAAAGCAACAUUAAAAGAUGGUAGAGUCGUUGCUGUUAAAGUUCAACAUCGUGCUGUUAAAUCCAAUUCUUAUGUUGAUAUCAGGACAAUGGCUGCGUUAGUUAAAAUAACAUCAUGGAUAUUUCCCGAGUUUAAAUUUGAUUGGCUUGUUGAUGAGACUAAGAAAAACAUACCACGUGAAUUGAAUUUUACAUGGGAAGGUAAAAAUGCUGAGCGAUUAAGAAAUUUAUUUUCACAUUACAAAUGGUUAAAAGUACCUGAAGUUCAUUGGGAUUUAUCGUCAUCACGUGUACUAACGAUGGAGUUUGUCAAAGGAGGGCAAAUAAAUGAUUUGAAAUAUAUACGCGAUAAUAAUAUUAAUCCAUAUGAAGUCAGUAGUAAAUUGGGUCGCUUAUAUAGUCACAUGAUAUUCAUAACGGGCUUUGUACAUUCAGAUCCACAUCCUGGUAAUAUUCUUGUUAGAAAAACUGAUAAAAAUGAGGCUGAACUGAUAGUACUUGAUCAUGGUUUGUAUGCAGAAUUGAAAGAUGAAUUUAGAUGGGCAUAUUCAAAACUAUGGCUUGCAAUACUUGAUCGUGAUAAAGAUGCUAUGAAAAAAUAUUGUGGGCAACUUGGUGUUGAAGAUAUGUAUGGUCUGCUAGCCUGUAUGGUAUCAGGUAGAACUUGGGAUGCUGUUAUGGCUGGUAUUGAAAGAACAAAAUAUAGUUCCGAUGAAAAAGUACAAUUUCAAACAGAAGUACCUAAUUUAUUGCCACAAAUAAGUGAAAUAUUAGAAAGAGUUGAUCGACAAAUGUUACUUGUACUUAAAACAAAUGACUUAGUACGAAGUAUUGAACAUACAUUAAAAACAUCAUCAAGAAUGUCCGCAUUUAUGGAAAUGUCUAGGUGCUGUAUAUGUUCACUUUACGAUGAACGUUUAAAAAACAGUACUACUAAGUGGUCUCAGUGGAGUAUAUCAAUUGCAAAACAAUUUGCAUUAUGUAAAUUAUCUAUUUAUUAUACGUAUUUGGGAAUGGUUAAUUUUGAUUUGCUAAAAAGUGUUGAGUCUUUGUGGACUCAUGACUUUUAUCCAUUUUAAUGAAUGAAUGUUUUCGAUAAAAAAAAUUUUUUUAUUUAUUUUUAGAGAAUUUUAUUUUAUUAAAAGUAUCAUUCAUCUUUUUUAAGAAUGGAAUAAUUUAAUUUAGUCUAAUGUGCUGACAUAAAAUUUAUUUAUAAUUAAAAUUUUUUGCGAUUACAAUUGUAAAUAAUAACAAUCAUUAUUGGUACAAGAUGGCCUACUUAUCGCUAAUAAAAUGUCUACAGUUUUAUUAAUUGUAAGUAAAAAUAUGUAGGCUUAUACAUAUGCUAAUAUCCCAAAAAGAUGUCACUGAUUGUACGCAGGAAUCUACGUCAUACUUACGCUAAAACAAAGAUAUAUUACAGAUACUUUACCAGGAAAUGCUAAUAAUAAUAUUUAUAGAUGAAUGAGUAAUGAAAUAAACGAAUCUGUAAGAUAUGUGUCAUAAAUACAGUCCUAUAUAAGAUAAAUAUAUUUUUUUGUUUUUAUUUAUUUAAGUUUUACAUGUAAAGUCCUGAUUUUUAUUUUGUAUACUGCGUAAUAAAUAACAUUUUUAAAAUAAAGCUUGUAUAAAAAUAUUUUUAAUAAAUUGUUGUAUUUGAUAAAUUAUAAAUAUGAUUGUUAUUUAUUAUUUUAACUAUCAUUAUAAAUUUUAUAUUUUUUUACAUGCAAACUUGAGAAAGUAUAUGAGAUAUAACAUAGAAAGUAAACAUAUUUUACGUGACGUGUCUAAAUUACUAUAUAGUAGGGAUGCCAUGAAUAGAAACAAGAAAUAAAAUGAACGUUGGCUCUUGGCACCGAGAAUCACAAUAAAGGAACAGAAAGAUAUGUUAUGUAGGUAUAUACCUGGAUGUACUUUGUAAUGUUAAAUGUUCAUACGCAUAUUAUAAUAGCAUAAUAUAGAGUUCUCGGAUAGAUUUCAAACAACUAACAAAAGAAUAUUUUUAUUGUAUAAUAUACAAUACAAAAAGGGUAAAACCGACCGUUAUAGAGUAAAUUCAGGUUCACAUCAGUUGCCAAAUGUAAAUGGGUGUGGCAAACCGACAAAGUCGCUGCAAUCGAGAAUAUCUAAUUCUCGAUUUAUAUCUACAUACAUUUCUAGACUUAAUAAUAAUUAUAAUAAAACUUGUACGUCAUAUAAUCAAUAUAAUAUAAAAUUCAGGCUGACAUUUCAAGGUUGAAUAGCUACGACGUAUAUUUAAAUAAAAGUUUUAUAAUUUUCAAUACCAGUUUAUGCGUACUAAAUCUGUAUGAAACAUAUGUUUUCAAUCUACUUGCUGGAAUUUUUGUUACGUCCAUAUGACUACGUCAUUGAAUUUUUUUUUACGCAUUACUCUUUUGAUAUUUAAUUUUCUUUUUGUAUUAUUUAUAAUUUAGUAACAAAUAUUUUCAUUGCAGUUUAUCAUCAUUUCUUUUCUUUUCGACUAAGAAUUUAGUUAUAUGACAAAAAAGGAAGUAUUAUCCUUAUACAUAUUGUUUAAUUAGUUUCAAUCAGGUCACUAGUUGAUAAUUUAAAAUGUUUAUUUAUUUUUUACAUUAAAUAGACUAUAAAAGAAAGGUUUAAAUAACGAAAUCUUUUUAAACUAUAUAAAUAAUAAUAGAAAUCUCUCAGAAAAAAAAUAAUAUUAUAAAGCAUGUUUAGGAAAAUUUUGUAAAUAACGAAUUUCUGUAAUAAAAUUAAAAAAUAAUAAUAAUAAUUUCAUCUUUUUUGGUCAUUACUACAAAACGUUAGUAAAACGUAAAAAAUAUCGAUGGCACUGUAGAAAAGUCUGGCAACGUCGAGAACAGCUGCAGGGAGAUGGUACGAUUCUUUAACAAAAGACGCAUUACGUGUGGAGAGGGUAAACCGUGUUGCAACUUAUAUUUUAAUAUAUACCUAUAAAAAUAUCUUGUUAUUAAUAAUAAAUUUCAUUAUUUUUUAAUAUUUUUUUUUAUAAUUAUUAUUUAUAAAUCAUUUAAAAUUAAAUUGUUGUAUUUUAAAUAAAUAAUAACUAUUGUUAAUUGUGUUAUUUGAGUAACAAAAGGGACUAUUUUCUAUUGAUCGGGCGUAAGAAUACAUAUUCGGGCGUCUGCAUCACCAGGUCAGGGUAUAUUAACCCCACUCUAAACACGGGAACGUCAUUCCAACGUCGUUAUUCGAACAGUGAAGACCGUACCUCGCUCGGUGGUUAUUUAUUAAUUUAAAUAACCGUUUCAUCGAUAUAAGGAGGAACCAAGCGUGUCCUUCACAUCGAGGAAUACGAGCUGGCUACAGUCUUACCGUUUGAGAUGACAUUGGAAUGGGCGGAGGGAGUCGCAGAUUCUGGUGACCCAUAAGGAACCAAAGGAAGCGAAACUCCACGCCAAAGGGGCGACAAGCCAAUCAUCCGUUUGGUUUGUAGAUAGUAUCGAAACAAACAUCUUUCUAUAAUUUUUUUUUUUUUGUAAUUAAUUAAACAGUUAAUUUAUUGUAAAUAUAAUUUUUCAGAUCUCAUUUAGAUUAAACUUUUCAUUAGUAAUGAAUUUAGAAUUUUAUUUUAAUAAUUGAACUGAAAUCUGACGCAUAUACUAAUAAUGUAUAAGAACUUAAUGAUAGAUAUUUUUUUUAUUGUAAUGAAAGUUGGGUGUCCAAGUAAUUUUUUUCAUCUUACUACUUUAGAAGAAUUUUGUAAAAUAGAUACGUAACGUAUUGUUCUUUUUUUUUUAUAUUUAUAUAUUUAUAAUCUGAAGAACACAACAUACAAAAUAACGUAAAGUAUUUUUCAUAUAUGAAUAAAUUUUAUAAUUAAAAAAAACGAACAAACAAUGAAGUUGAACAAAUGAUUUAUUGAUGCAUGCUUAUUUUUCAUUAACUAUUAAUUCCAUAAAUCCUUUUCAGUAAAUGGCACUCAUCCUCAAAUUGUUAUUGCAUAUGAAAAGAUACAAUGGUCACAAAAAAGUUCCGGGCACUUGCUGAUCAUCUCUCUCGGUAAUAUCUACACUAAAUGAAAACAAUAAGAUAAAGAAUAAGAUGAUCGGGUGAGGUUUUUAUUUGCGCAUGAUGAUUGAUAGUAAGGGAAAAAACAAAAUAGGGGGGAGAAAAGUUAUGUGUUUUUAGAAGGCAACUGAGUAACGCAGCCCGCAUGAACUACACCUAUCACUCUUCGCACCCUCACUUGCUUCUCCAAUUCCAACGGUUCGUUCGCGAGAAUCAGCACGUACGCCGUUACAACAAUGAGAUCCGGAUAAUAAUUGAGGUGGUGAGCUUUUUUAUAAUGUAACAAAAAAUCCCCGAUAAAAGUAUUUUCUCAGGUUUUGGAAAAGCCAGGCGAAGUUUAGAUUUCCUAGAAAAAAAAUAAAUGGUUAAAACCAACUUCGGGUCGUCGUACUUCUGUGAUGGGGUCACUCUCACGAAAAAAGGCCGUCACUACAUCCGAUGGUAUUAAGCACAUGCAAAUAAUAAUAUAGAAAGUAUACAGGUACUUGAUAAUUAUGUGCAUGAUCUGUUAGAAAAUCAAUUUCUAAUUAGAUGACAUUUUUUGAUAUCAAAACAAAAUAAUACUGCGUAUUUAUAGUAAAGAUAAUUUGCCAAAAUGAGCAUUCGUAUAGCUCGGCAAUCGAAUAACCCAUGUUUUCACAGAUAUUGAAGCACUUUGAUUGUACAUAAUCCAGGAUGAACAGGUGUAGCAAAAAUACCAGAUCGCGAGAACUGGUUCUAGAUAUGAAGAAACGAGCGUGGGAAGCAAAUAACGGCAAAAUCGGAGACGUUGGAGUUAAUGAAAUGAAAGUUGAUGAAAUUUAAAUAGAGGUACCGCCGUAAAUGAUUACAAAUAUAAUAAUUUUUAUUAUUUAAUAAUAUCGUAAUAGUAAACUACUUUGAUUUGUAAAAACUAUUGUUGGGUUGGGGAUAUGGGGUGUAUAAGAAAUAGUCAUUUUCGCUUCAGAGUCAUAAGAUAGAUGCCCGACAACCAAUUUUCACAUUCAAGUCCUCCGUUGAAGAUGGAAACUUUGGGAAACGAGAUAAGUGUUUAUGUAAGAUCCAAGAUCUAAAUUAUUUUUCUUUCUACUAUGGGUUGGGCGGGGGAAACGAAAGUAUGAUUUUAAGUCGCAGGAAACCCUACUGGAACGCGUACACGAAAGAGCAGAGAAAGUAAGCGUGUGAAAAGGAGAAAGCCAAUUUUACGAGUUUUAUCAGAAAAAUACCACAUUACAUCUGGAUUCAGGUAUCAUUCAUUCAUCAUUCGUACAAAUCUCGCGUUUUUUUUUUUUUACUGUGCAGAUAAGGACGAGUUUAUCCGAGUAACCAGAGAGUAUCGAGCCGAAAAACCUUAGAUCAAAACACGUGAGAAAUUUAAGAUCUUUAAUAUUAACAUAUAAACGCUAUAUUUGUUUUAAAAAAACACCCGUAAUCUAAAAUAAUAGCAGAAAGAUAGGACAACAUUAAUCUUUUAAGCUUCAGAAGUACCUGAUACAAUGAAUGAAAGAAAUAACUGGUAUUAAAUACUUAAUGGAUUUAGAAGAUCAUUACGGUAAAUCAAGAGUUUAGAGGUAAAAAGUAUUAUCUUAUCUUUGGAUCUUGUCUUCUCCUUAACUUAAUUUUUUUUCUCACUCUCUUUUUAUCACUGUUCGCGUUAUGAUAAUUUUGUUUGUGAGGGAGGUAGCGAUUUUGUUUUAUAGCACAAGAAACGUAUUACAAUCAGAUAAGUUUAACUUAAAUAAAAAAACAAAGAUAACCAAGAUAUACAAAUGGAAUAUUUAUGAAACAUGACAAAUACAAUUAGAAGAAUUAAAUUAACGAUAAUAAUUUUUUUUACGAAAAAAAAAGAAGAAAUUGAAUUGAAGUCAAGAAAAAUAUUGAUUUAUAUAGGAAAUUAAGAGAGUUGAAAAUCAGAAAAUUAGGUCGAUAAUAUGAAAUAUAUAAAUGAAAAGAUAAAAACGAUCCCUUUGGAAACUGACCGCAACAACAAUUCCAGGUAAUUAGUGAAACAAUUAACGAGUAUUUUAUUUAACUACAUAAAUUUCGUAUAACAAAUUUUUUUUUAGACAUGAAAAUUUUAAUCAGUAAAAACAAAAAAAAAUUACUUAAUAUGCCUUGGCCGAAUGGCUUUUGCAAAAUAUUCACAAGAAAAGAGUGAAGUUUAAAUAAUCUAAAAAUUUCUUUUAGCAAAAACAGGCUUUUAUGAAAUGAGAGUUAAUUAAUUUCAAUACUUAGUACCGAGAAUGGAUUUUGCACUUAAAACUAGUAUAAAUAUGCAUCCCUUCAUAUAAAAAUUUGAUUCAUCUACCAAAAGAAACAACUUUUUUAUUCAGUGAAUUACUUCUCCUACCAUAACUACUACUUCUGUUAACGUUCUUGUGAAUUGUUAUUGAAAGAACAAGAGUUAAUUUUAACGUGUAUUUAAAUCGUUUUGAUCAUUUUUUUUGUGAAGUUUAGUUUGUUGAUAUUACCAAAUGUUAUUUAUAUUAUGUUUUAAAGUUUUGUGAGCAAGUUCAUUAAUUUAUUUUUGUUAACUCUUAUAUAUUUAUAAUAAUUUGUUUUUACUGUAUACACCAGUAGCGCAUAUAACUGAUUUGAAUAGUUGUGUAGUGCGGUCACUUUUAAUUACGUGCAAGUUUUUAAUAAUUUGAUUAUAAAGUUUAUAAUUGUUAUUAUAUAUAAUCAUCACACUAUGUAAUAUUGCUGCAAUGCUAAUAUCUGCUGGUAAUGAGCCUAUAUUUAUUAUUAUGUGUUAUGCGAAUGUCUGUAAACACAUCUAGGGUGAAUUGUUUAUAAUGCUGUAAAAAUAAUUUUGUCCUUACUCACUUAAUCCAAAAAUUAAUGGACAAUUUUUUCACAUUGCUCGUAUUGUGUCUGGAUAAAAAAAAUAAUUAUAUGAAAAUAAUUAUUUUCAUUGUUGAAUGUUAAACAAAUAUUAUAUGGUGUAAUAUUAGAAACGUGGCUUUAUCUAUAUUUGUUGCUAGAACUAUCGGUGAGUUAUUUAUAAUCAUUUAUAAUUAGAGUUGUGAUUUUUAUUAUUAAUAUUUUUUUUUAUAUCAGUAUUUUCUUAAUUAACGUUUACGUAGAUUCCGCAGUUAACACAUUGUUUCUUUGUAUAAUAUUGUUCACACAAAAAAAAACAAAUUAAUGCAUUGUUCUGCUGGAUAUUGUAAAUGUUAGGUACUCAAUACUGAAUAAGUAUUUUUGUACCCGCGACACGCUUUUAUAAUAAUAAAUUGAUAUUUUAUUGAGGGGUUUGGGGCUGGGGGACUACUAAUUAUUUUGCGAAUUCCAAAGUAUUUUCAGAACCAUACUCACCUAAGUGAUUAAUAUAUUGGAUACAUUAUUAUUAUUACUACUAUUAUUUUGUAAUGGCAUUACUACUUAUACGUUGAAAAAAAACGCAGCAAUUAUUGUCAUCUAUAUCUAUAAAUUGUCUCCAUAUUACGCAGAGCACAGCAUUGGAUUACGCUAAUAUAACGUUUUUUGGGCCACCUACUAUAUUGAUAUCUAUCUAUAAUUACUUACUAUAUCUAGGCAUGCAAAUUGGCUGUUGCUCUUUUUUUUGUAUUACUUAAAUAUUUGUAAUUAAAUACGCCUAUCACGAUAAAUCAUUCGUCCGCUUGGAGAAGAUUGGCACUGCAUAUAAUAAAUGAUGAGUAUUAGGCAUUUUAAUGUAUUUAAUAUAAUUUCAAGAGUUGGUUAUUAACUGAAUUGAAUUGAAUUAAACAAAACAAAACAAAAAAAAAACGAAAGAAACAAAGAAAAAACAGGUACGCACUUUAGAUAAUUCAUUUGAUAUAUUUUUUUCAUUAUAUUGCACAAUGGAUAUGCUAGCAAAUGUGGUGCAUCAUAAAGCAAAUUGGUUUGGCUAUUAAAUUAGGAUAGGAUAAGAGGAUAAUAUAUUAUUACUAUAAUUAACAAGAAAACAACUAUUGAAGAUGAGUGACUAUACUAAGCGAUACAUUUCCAUAACAUAACGAAGAUUAAUAUUUACUAUUGAAGAGUAUAUUAGAAAUUCUGAAUUUAAUAAUUUCUGUAGAAGAUUAUGUUUAUCACUACUUUUAUUAUUAUUGCAUUUAAAAAACUAUGUGUGUUAGUAUGGUAUAAUGCUAAUGAACAAACGUGAGUUAAAUGAAUCCCUUUUUAUCCUAUUAGUUUUCCCGCUAACUAAGUGUUUUUAGAAAACUACUUGGAGAAUGACUCGUAAGACAGUUUGGGACUUGGGGAUGUUGAUGCUUGGAAUGAUGCCUAGAUCUAGCUGCGGGGUUCCAUGCUGGUGUACCACUUCCUCCCAAAUGCAACAGAGGGUUUGGUCGCGAGCUUGCACAGCUGGGUGGUCGUUCAUUCUUCUUCCGGUCCCGAUGGCCUCCAGAGUUCAGCCAUCGUCUUUGGCGGGGCAUGGCGUCCACACCCGAGUAUCAUCGUCCGCUGUGGUCUGACUCCUAGCAGCCGAUCUUCCGGAACUGCGGAGUGAUGACAACACGGGACACGCUCGUGUGAGGGUCCUUGGCGAUUGGAGACUCUUCUGGCGGCGGGACACGCGUUACCUGGGGCUUAUUUCCGCACACCCGAGCACACCUGAGCACACUGAUCCGGUCGAGGCGGUUGUGACGGUAUUCCGGUUGGCAAAGGGGUUGAGGCUUUUUCUUAGAGCAGGAAUCUGACGGAGGCAUCCAGAUGAAUGCAGAGUUCCAGCCAAAACGCAUCUU